ensembl:lncRNA
GGGUGGAGGGGGCGGAGCUGCUGCCUUUAUGGCAGGGCAGCAGGGGGUGAAGUGGAGCCAGGACAGGUGGCCCGAAUGAGGCAAUUAGGCCAGCCAUGACCCAUCACACCGAAGGGCAUAAAGCUGUGAAGGAGUUGGCCGAGAGGUAACAAUGUGGAUCGUCUGCUGGUGAGCGGAGGGAGGUUUUGUCUUGCUGGUGGAGUGUCUAAUGGCUGCUGUGCAUUAGUCAGCAAGUGCUGAAAUUCUGAGUGACAAGCAUCAUUUCUAAGACCACAAUUUCACUUGGAAAAGUGGAGCAGAGUUGGAGGAGGAGAUGGAGGAAGAGAGAUUAAACAACUCAGAAAACAGAUGGAGAAAUGGAAUAGAAUCACUACUGGUUUAACUUUAAAAUCACCUCAGUGGAUAUUUUCAACAUUGGACAGCAAGGCAUACAUUUUCAUAAAAUACAAAGGAAAAAGUAAUACGAAAGCAAAGAAACAUCAAUCUUCUGCAACAGAUGAAAGAUACAAGAAUUCUUCCACUGCUUGCCUGAGAAGUGGAGUGAAGCAUUUGUGGAUUCUGUGCCAUGUUAAUAUGGACAGGUAGCUUCAGUGGAAUACUUCCCAUUGUGAAGAUGUAUCUACAGGACUUCUGGAUGAGAGUAUUCAUCUUGACCAAUCUUUAGCAUGUACACAUUAUGCAUUGCCCAAGUGCAACUUUCUCAUUUGAUCCCAGUUUCCAAAUGACUUUCCAUUAUCUCAAGCUCUAAUAGAUUACUUAGUGUAGUCUGUAUGUAUAAGUCUAUAUGUCUAGUAUUAGAUAUGGAGGUUGGUGGCCCUGCAUGCGGCAGGGGGACUGGAGCUUGAUGAUCCUUGAGGUCCCUUCCAACACAAGCCAUUCUAUGAAUCUGUGAAAAAAGUAAACAUAAUGCACCUGAAUUGCCACUCCCAAGAAAAGCAACAUGACUCCAGCUUAAGGGCAUAUACCGGCUCAUGUGGGAGCAUGUUUAAAACGGGUUGGGAAAUGUUGAAUAUUUGGUUUUGAUUGAAAAAAAAUAUUUUGACAUUUCGGAACUGAUUUUUUUUCUAAACGUGUUGGUCUUUGGAUGAAAAUAGUUUUAAAAAUAUCAGCUUCUUUCCCUAUGAAGGAAAUUUCAUCUGUCAACUGGCUGUACCAUCCAAAACUAGUCAAAGGCAGGAAUAAGUAGAAAACACAUGUCCUAAAUAGGUACCUCUCUGUCUAUUGCUGAGCCCAAGUUUAGCUCAAAUGGAAUCGUUUGGAUUGGGUUGCUUGUCUUUUUUUAAUGGCCUAAUUUUGUAGCAGUAGCCAUGACUAUCAUAACAACCAAAACAAGAAAAACAUGGAAUUGGACUUAGAGUUAGUACAUUUUGUCUGCCUGUGAAGACAAAGUCCAACUCAAACCUCUCACUCCUAAACACAUGCUAAUUUUUUAGAUUUGACUGGAUUUUAGGUUUUAAGAUGCACAGCUUCUAAUGUAAAUCUCUCUCUGCUACCAUUAACUACAUCAGAUACAGUUAUGAGGAAUGAUCUGUAGGCUUACAUAUUUCUCUAACAGGUUCUAUACCACCUUGGAGUUAUUCAGUUACAAAGAGAGAGAAAGAAACUGUUUUUAUGCCAAAUCCUUUGUCCUCCGUAAUUUUGGGAGCAUGUGGGAUUUCUGCCUGGCAGGUCAUUCUGCUCUGAUUUCUAAGGUUCCUUCAUUAGGAGGUGUAGUGGAAAUGCUAAGUCAUGGCCUGAAACAGUGAUUGAGCACCUGGUGGGAAGGCAGGGCCAACCCAGGAGAGCUCAGCUGCAUGCAAUCCACCUGAGUGAUUGGAAGGGUUGCAGUCAGGAUCCACCCCUUCCCAGACCUCAUUUAAGGGUUGGCAGUAGAGGCAAAGGUAUUGUGCUGGAGAUCCCUGCCUACUGGAGGUCUUCUAAAGGUAAGCAGUUUUUCUUCUUCUGUUUCUGUGUUCCCACCUGCUGUAUUUGGGCUUGUUCUCAUUUGCUGCAGCCUAGGAUAGUGUUACUCUGCUACUAUUGCUAUACUUUCCAUCGUGUUAUAGGUGAGAUAGCUGAUAGUCGCUCAGUCUGAAAGAGACCUGCUCAUCAUUUCAAUCCAGUGGCAAUGGGUUCCCCUGAGUGUCUCCCUUCUUCCACACAUUUCUUCCUCUUUAUGUUCCUAAUGCUAGGACCUGCAAAGUAUCCUGCAUGAGUUUUGCUAUCAACAUCUCUGUUCGGUAGCUACAGCAGAGGAUUUCUCUUCCAGCCGUACACAGAUACUUGUAUUCCCUGUUUCUUAAUAUAUUGAAAAGUAAAGGUAUUUGACUCAGCAUCCUGGCUGAUCUUUACUUACCUCCAUGAAACACUUUUUCUGCCUAAUAAGUAAAAACUCAGAGAAUGUGAAGGACAACCUGCAAAAGAGAGUAGGCAUGGCAUGACUACAUGCAACUGUGAAAGGAAACUUGCAAUAUUUAUUGUCCCCUUUCUUAAGGGUCAGUUUUUGGACCUGGGUUCAUCUAGCUUUAGAAUUUCCCACCACUGCAACACACCAUCUACUUGGAAAGGGGCUAAUCACAGGGUCUUUUUCUAGGUAGUUUGUAGUUACCUCUGUUGGUGUUAAAUUAAUCCCUUCACCUUUCUUCUCUGUUAGGCCUCUCUGCGUUCUUCCACUUACUUAAAAAGCAAAGUAUCUUUGAAUAAAGCUUUCUUAUUUUACAGUAAUUUUGGUGUUAGCACUGGGGAAAUACUUUAGGCACAAGAUUAUUGCCAACAAUCCUUUAUUUUCUGAAAGAAAAAUAGGAUGUUUCUUGGCAACACCAUCUGUGAGAAAUAGGAUCCUCCCAAACAUUUGGGAAAAAUCCCUACUGCCAGCUCCCACACAUCACAUUAUUUUUCCCUUGGUAUUAUGUUGUCUCUUAAAACAAUGACUUACGUGAAGAAGUAGAAACCAACUGAGUCAAAUGCAGACUUUACUUAUAUACUCAUCAUCUGGAGUGAGAGCCACAUCACUGCCAUGGUGUCAGGAAGCCGGAGGCACACAUGUUGGUCCCUUGUACAGGGCCCUAGAGCAAUCUAGGUAUCAAAUGUGUAUGUAAUAGCCUGGUAUUGCUGGUUUAUUGCUAUCUGUGAAAAGCUAUAGGAAGAGGAUUUGUUACCUGGAGCACAACUUCCCAAAUCUCAGUCAGGACUGAGACUGUUCAUGAUUCAGAUCAACAUGUGGGAAGAAAUUAGCUGUCUUUACUAUCAGUGUGUUCAGCCUGUAGUAUAAUACGGCACUGAAUGUGGAGUUACAAGACCUUGUUUCAAGAAAAACUGUUGUGCAAUGUUUCUGGACAUACUGUUUGAUCCUGUUUUCUUUCACUCUGUGCAUGCGUCAUUUCUUUGUCUCCAGUGAACAGCAAAUUGAGUCAUGACUUUGAAUCUUGAAACAGGUGAACUAACUGGGAGGGAGUGAGAUGAUGGACUCAGACACAGCUUGUUUCCCCCAGCUCUCUCCCCUCCAGCACAAAUCAGCUUAAAAGAAGAAAGGAGAGGGAAAAAAAAAAAAAAAAAAAAAAAAAGGAACAAUAAAGUGACUGAGAUGGCAGGGAGUAGAAAGACCUGAUUUUCAUUGAAAUCACUUUCAAAGCAGAAUCUGAAGCAAAAAAAUGGAAACUAUUUGGAAGAAGGGCAAUGUUUUUUUCAGCUAUCCAAAUAGGAAACUGGGAGAGAUGGAGUCUGAACUUCUUGUUGGAAAUGCAUCUUUUGUGAGGGAUAAGAGAGAAUUGUAAGGGACAAAUUGGAGAUGUGAUAGAUUACUUGUGGUUGUGACUCUUCAGCAGAGAAAAGGAAAGGAUGUUAUUAAUUACAGGUUUAUGGAAAAAUCUCAUAAAAGAAAGAAAAGAGUGGUAAACAUGAACAUGACUCAGGGGAUUUAGAAUGUAAUGCAAACCUAAAAAUGUGACCAGUGACAACCAGGCAGACAAACUAUAAAUACAAGUAGUCAUGAGAAGCUGGCCUGGUAUAAAUGACCUUAGGAAUUUGAGGCAGAAAAGCACAUUACAUUCGAGGUGUUGAACCCAAGUCCUAAAUAAAUGCUUAAAACACUCCCAGGAUUGGAUAUUUCUAUUACUGUUUUCACAAAUUUCCUUUCCAGAGAAGUCUGUUCUGGACAGCACGUCUGACCUCCUGUGUUACUCAGGUCAUGUAGUUUCUCCCAGCCAUUUCUUUAUCAAGCCUCAAACCCUGAAGUUGAAUGAGAGCCUAUCUUUCAAAGGGCAGUAUGUCUUGCAUAGAAGAUUCCAGCUGGUAGUUCACAGAGCUCUGGUCAGUUGCGUUUUCCAUUUAAAAGCCCAUCCUGUUUCUGCGUUGAACCUUGUAGCUUUCAGCUUCUAGCUAUUGGGCCUUCACAUGUCUUUGAUUACCAGAUUUAAGUGCUUUAAGGGUUAUUAUUAUUCCCAGCUCUGCAAAUUCCAUCCAUAGGGUAUAAAUGCCAAUGCAGGCAGGAUUAUGAGAGGAGAAACCUCCUCUGUUAACACAGAUGUUGCCCACUGUUUGGAACUUUGCAAAAUCUGGUUCAACAGGCAAAGUGAGCUGAAGAAGAUGAUGGUUUCAAGUAUAAAACUGUAGCAAAUGCAAGUAUUUUCCCUACUUAAGUAGGACUCUCAUGAGAAGAUAGACGUUCCUGAAGUGAGAAAGAUCUUUCCUGUAUACUUAUCAACACAGAGCUGAGUGGAAUUAUUUAAGAUCAACAAUCAACUAGGCAGGAAACUUGAUUACACUGACCAGCUGUACCAAGCUCCUUGCUGCUUUCAUCUUGUGGGGAAAAACCCCCCUCAACUUAUUUAUUUUUAAAAGUGAGAGAAGGAAAGAUUGUCCAGCCCUAAACACUUUGUUUUCAGACUUACUGAAGAAUUCAGUGGUAGGUGCAUUUGGCAUGAGUUUGGAUUCAAACUUAUUUUACGUAAUAUCAGAGUAUUCUCAUGAAACCAGAAGUUAGCCUAUCAAAUUGUAGCACAGAAUAAUUUAAGAUUCCUGUCAAGCUCAUUUGAAAGUAUUUCUUUUUCUGUUCUUUGUGCGAGAUUCCCAUUUGUACCUCUCUGAAACUGAAUAUAAAGAACUCCAUAUAAUCUAUGGUUUACAUUAUUAUUGCACCAGUUUUGAGAAUAAAUCUAUUUUUAAGAUGUACGGUAAAGAACGUACCACAUGUCAAAGAAUUGCUGUUGCACAUUCUCCCUCUGAGCAGCACUACGGCUCUCCUGCCUGUAUUGCAAACAGUUUUUUUUUUAAUAAAAAAAAAAAGCAGGCCUCUUUUCCCAGGCUCCUGUUAGAUGUGAGCUGUCUUCCUGAGAGCUGUAUUUUCAUCUUGCUAUAUUUAAAAAAAAAAAAAAAAGUCUAGUUUUAGCAUAAAGUAAUUACCACAAGCUUAUUAGUGUGCCUGACUCAGGCACUGCAGGCUGGGCAGAUGUCUAAUGUGCACACAUUCUUUGACAAACUUUUAUACAGCCACAGAUGAGUCUGGGGAAAAAAAAAAAAAAGCAUAGCAAUGAAUUCCUGCAGAUGGAUUAAAAAUUAAAAACAAUGAUACCUUCAGAAGAAGACAGCAUGAGGUGUGUAUUAACUCUUUUUUAUCUUCACUACUGAUAGUAAGUGUUAUCUAGAUCUAAGAAUAACAGUCUGUGAAAUGUCUCACACUCCUGAAAGGGGGAUAGCUUUGAAGUUUCUUCUCAUCACUAAAUAGGAUUUCUGCUCUGUGGAGCUCUUUUUUGGAAGGUGCCUCCUGCAGCAGCUUUUCAUUAUUCACCCUUCAGUACCCCCUGCAAGACCUUCCCAUCUCAGCACGCUCCCUAUUGUCCAUAUUCACAUAGAAUGCAAAGGAGGACAGGGAGAAAGCCAUCCACAGCUGAAGGCAACCUGUCCAAGUUCUGCACCAGUAACAUCACACCGAUCAGUGGGGACGUUGCUCUCUAAAGGAUACAGGAUGACAGGAGAAGGGCAAUAACACUUUUUGCAUCCCUGGAUUAUGGGUCCUUUAUUGAUUAUAGCCACAAAUGUAGAUGAAGUAUUAUGAAGCUUGUUUACAGUGUUAUCUGCUUGCCUGCCAGUCAUUGAUUCUCUCUGUUAACAUCUUCACUUCUAAGUACAAGAACAGAAGAAGAGCCUUCAGAUGUUCCAUCUUUAGAUAUCUGCACCUUUAUUGCUGUUAAAACUCAAGUAGGACCUAUUUCAAUAUUUCAAGAAACUGUUCUGGUGACAAAGUUACAGCUUCUGGAAUGGUUGUUUUUACAUACUUAGCAUCAAGAGCAAUCACAGUUUUGAUGAACUUGCCCAGGUUCCUCUUCUGACUGUAUGGGCAAGCUCAGGAUGAGAGAUUUCAGUUCAUACUUUCUUUUUUUGGUCUUUCUGCAAAAGGAUCCUGGAAAGCAGUAGCUUGUUUGCUUUCUACCUUCUGUUGUAUAUAUUGUAAGCAAAAAAAAUAAUAAUAAUUAAAAGACAAGAUCUCCCUUACCAAGAUUUCUCUUCUUUGUUAUGCAAAUAGCAGGCAGACUUUCACUCCUGAUUCUUCUUUCUAAAGGCUUUCUGGUUCAAUGAAUCUGAAUUUGGUUUAUUCCACCAGUGCAUUUUGGAUGUUUACUAAACCAGUGUACGUGCUCGGUCAGACUAGGCAUUUUUCUGUUGGUGGUUUGAGGAAUAGCUGCUACCUUUUUAUUUCCUCUCCCUUUUUUGGGAGGAGAAAUUAAAUUUCUGUUUUUGUACUGACUGGAUUAACCAGAUGGUCUAAACAAAUUCAGACUGUGCGGCCUGAUUGGAAGCUGUCAGACAAAAUCCAGGUCAGAAGCUACAGUUCACUGCUCAUAGAGAUAGCACUCUCUAGGAGUAUGAGACAAGACUAUGGCAGUGUCUUGUCAUCAUCUUAUUGUUGGGGUGGAACCCUCAUAUUCUUGUUGCUUCUUUUUUCCAUACAGACAGGAUUUGUGGGAAAGGUGACAGAUAAUUGUUUUUAUUAUUAUUCUAGAUCAUGCUUACAGCUUCUUUUCCAGUCAGACAAUAAAUAAAUGCAUUUUCUGGUGUCUCCUUUAGGGGCGUUUUUUCAUUGUGAUUCUGUUUUUCAAACUAGGAGGAUGAUGUGAAUCCUUCAGCUCUUAGUGAUGCCUGGUAUAUGCCCACUAGAGGUCUUUUCUCCCUUCUGCAGUAAUUUGUGCCUUACAUAUGAUGCUAUGGCAAUUUCAUUCAGGUCAGAAAUGAGCUUGAAUGCAUUCACCUUAGACGCACUGCUGAUGAAAGCUUUGUUGAAACUUAUGGUCUUUAAAACAGCUCCAUCUUGAUGAAACAGGAUGUUUUGAUGAAACUUUAAUUCAUUGACAGCACUUUCAAAUGUAAAUAGCAAACCAAAUUAUCUGGCUUCAGAAAACAUUUGGCAGAGAGAACAAACAUUUUUAGUGUCACCUGAGAUAUUUUAAUAAAAGGUAGAAUAACAAGGAUAGUAGUUGAUAAACUCAGAUUUGGAAUUAUUCCCAACACUUUCCAGUAAGGAAGCCUCAAGUUUUUGAAACAUUAUGUAGCUCAUAAGCACUCACUGGAUGUUCUGUUGGGUUUCAUUUAAUCCCUGCUUAGAUGUAUUCCUCUCCGUUUAGUAGAAAUACAGAGCAAAAACAAGCAAGGGAUGUGCUAUGAUUACCAAUUUAAUCCAAGGGUUUUAUUUCCAUCUUGUUUUCACUCUUUCUUAGAUACAUGCAUUGUCUCAGCUUAGACAAGUGAGUACUUCAGUGAGAGGGCCUUCAUUUUGUUAUAUUUGGUAUCUGUUCUACGUAUUCAUUUGUGACAGACACUACAGUAUGUCAUAAAUACUCAUUACUCAUAAUUUUGUUUGCUAUAUUUUGCUCCAUCAUCUGCUCUCUUUUUCCUAGUUAAAAUAUUAAUUAUACUUCUGGAGUUGCUAGGUACUCCUGAUGUUAGCCUCUGGGCCUGUUGUGUUACACAUUAAACAAACAUACAGUAAAAAAAAGUUUCAGAAUUCAGGGUUGGAUGCAAGGGAAGCAAUGUAUCUGCAAUGUUGGAUGCAAUGUAUCUGGGGAUGUAUUGAAUUAUAAGAACAGUAAGACAAAUUAAUCUGUCCUUACACAUCUGUGUGUUUUAGAUUACAGUUCCUAAAUACUUCAUGCUAUAGCAAGAAGCUCAAUGCUACAAAGCUAGAUUUCUUCAAAUGUAUUUGAAUUGUUUCUCAGUGUUUUCACUGUAAAGCUUACAUUUAAUUCUCAUAGCAUUUUUUUAAGUAUAGGUUAUCCUCUAGGUCUCUAAGUUCCUCAUCAAAACAAACAACUUCACUUUUUAGUCAUGUAUAGGAAUGUGAAGGAAAUGCACCACAUUAAUGAUGCAUAUUAUAGGAAAUCUACAAAAUCUUUGCAUAUUGUAUAAAACUCCUGACUUUCUGUUAGCUAAUAUGUAAAGAAGGCUGGAGGGACUGAAUGUAAGGCAUUGUGUGGGCAAAACAGUGCUAGAACAAAAAAAAAUAGUGCUAGAGGAAAAAAAAUACAUAGAAUUGCUAAGGCUGGAAAAGACCCACAGGAUCAUCCAGUCCAAACAUUUGUGUCAUAUCAUUCAAUGUGAUAUGGUCUGUGCUGGAACAGUUUGUUUUCUACUACCUGUUUUGACUUCGUUUCUAGUACCUGUCAAUAUUGUCCAUGCUUAGGGCCAAUGUAUGUACAACUGUAUGUAGAACAAAGUAUGCUGACUGUUGCACAUAAUGCAACAUAAUUCAUAGUCUCAGGUAUGUCACAACAGGUGAUUUGAAGAUGUGUAUGUAUACAUAUAUACUUAUUCUAGAUUGGAUGUAAAUUCUAGUUGUUAUUGAAGAUAUAUUUUUAAUAUUUUUUAAUAAUUGAAUAUGUGGAAGUGGACAGAGGAAAUCUAACACAAAUGCCAGCAAUACAGAGUAGGAAGAGAAAAUAAACAACCAGAUAACUCUAAUAUAUGAGCAAAACAACACUAGAAACAUGACUCUGAUUGGGUAAAAGCAGGUUGAGAGAGCCUUUUGUUAUUUGAUUCCCUCUAUGUUUGGAUUAACACAACUAUAAUUUCAGAGUGGCCAGAACUGUUGGGUAGUAAUGAAAGAGAUGGUUAGCUAUUCUGCUUAAAGAAAGCAGUGACAACAUAUAACUGGUUGUUAAAUGUGCUGUGUUGAUAAUAACUUUAUCAUUUAGUAGAUUUAAUAUUCAGAGAACUAUAGAAUGGUUUGGAUUGGAAAUGGACAACCCCCCCUGCAAUAGGCAGGGACAUCUCCCUCUAGACCAGGGUUGCUCCAGCCUGGCUUUGAAUGCUUUCAGGGAGGGAGCGUUCACAACCUCACUGGGCAACCUGUUCCAGUGUCUCAGCACCCUUACAGUAAAGAAUUACUUACAGUAAAUAAUUACCUACCCUCUUCCAGUUUAAAGAGGCAUCCCUUCGCCCUGUUGCUACCUGCCCUUUAUAUUUUUUUUCCUGCGAUACUUCUCCUCUGAAGAAAAUUCUGACUAAUUAAUUUUAGUGUCUGAAAAGUUUUGUUUUCUAACCUGAAAGAAGACCUUUUUAUGAUUUCUCAGAAACUCAUACACAGCUUGCACUUUCUACAGAGAUGUACAGACAAUGCUGUAACCUCAGGGCUUAUUUUACUUUUGCAAUUCCAUUCUUUAGUCAGUUUUGUAAAUAUAUAGAAAUUUGAAUCCUUUUUCAAAUGCUACAACAUGAACUUUAGUCACAGAGAACUUUGUUUGCUGAGAAAAAUAAAGCAGAUUGCCAAUCUAUAAGAUUUCUGGCAAAAGCUUAAAAAAAAUGCUGACAUUUUAAAAAUAAAUUAAGGAAGAAAUUAUCUAAUUGAGGUGAGAUUUAUAAUUUAAAAAAAAGAACCUCCAACCAUGCCUCCAGGAGGUAGCUACCAAAUUUGGUCACUGGAUGCAUAUAAUUACAUCACUAGAAAUCCGUAACAUGAGACCUCAGAGAGUUCCGGGGACAGAAGAGGGCCGAGUUCAAUCCGGGUGUUGUCCAUAUAUGGCUGCAAAGGACAGCCGGUGUCUGCGUGGAUGCAGCACAGCCGUCAGCACAGAACUGGGACAAAACAGAGCCACGACAGCGUGCUCCCGCCAGCAGCCUUCUUCUGGGAAUUUCAGGAAUGCCCUCAGCACUUAUUCAGCAGGAAGCUAUCGGUUAAAGGCACACCGCCACGGUUCUGUGCGUUUCUUUACUGAAGAAGCUUGUGUCCCUUUCCAAUAGAUGUUACUUAGUUACAGGGGUAGAUGAUCAUGUGUUUUCUGUAACAUUUAAUCUUUUUAAAUAUGAUCUGCUCUUUCCUACCUAUUUUUACUGCCCACUAUUUACAUAUAAACUAGUGUUGCCUUUUACUUCCCACAUAGUGAAUAUCUAUUUCUGAAACAAAUUUAAUAUGUUUGAGUCUAAUGAGUCAUGAUGAAUAACCAUUUCUUAGUCAUGAGGAAUGCCACAUUAGAAUGAUAAGAAAUGCUUCUGAGAGCAAUUCACAGUGUAUUUCAGAAUGUGAAUGAUUUGACAGAUAAUGAAAAAAAAUAAGUCUGUACCUUGAACAAAUGUUGAUAUUUGUGAAUGGAUAGAUUACUUUACCAAGAGAAGCUGAAGACUUCAAGGCCAUCUGUGAAUGGACUGUCCAGCCUUAUGUGCCCGAAGAAUCAUAAGUACGUUUUGAGUGUUCUACAAAAGCACAUUCCUCAGGUAUUGCAGGUAAGAGUGCUCUAGCCUAAAAGCAAAGGAUAAUAGUCAUAUUAGUUUAAAUGGUACUGAUUACAUGUGUAAAAUUAAACAAGUAAACAAGUCCCAAAGUGCUCUGAAGAGUUGCUAUCUUACAAGCUCAAACCAUUGCAGCAGCUUUAAAUGGAAUGUAUGAGAACAGCACAGACUCAGUGAGAAGUGGAUGAGCUACUGGUCCAAAUCAGGUUUUCUGAGGGGUUUUGUUGUUUUCUGAAUCAAAAUUAUCCUCAGAUUUUUUUAAAUUAAGAGUAGAUUCAGAGUUUAAGUGGUCCCACAGAAAUCCCACACACCUUUACACAAGUUUACUUCCUACACACGUAGAUAUAUGUGCAGGUGUAUAGUGAGCAUUUUCUGUGUACACUCAGUCCUGUGUGCACAACAUAGCUGAAAGGAGAUAAAUCACAUUUUAGAGGCUAUUUUUUUUUUUUUAAACAAUGACAGCAGUAUAUAGCAUACUUUGCUUGUAGAAACUGUGAUCUAACAUCUGACCCAGGGUUAAAACUUCUAUGCAUACCCAGAUACCUAAAUAAUAGCUUUAUUUUAACUGGUCUGGUACUCUGCCAGCUCCUCAUACUUCACCUGGGAGCCAGAUAUUUUACACAUCAGUCAAAAGGUGUUUAUGUGCGCAACUAUAAAUAAAAAAUCCAUUUGAGGAGCAAAGUUUGCAAAAGGCUUUUGAUCUGUAGCAUCACAGUAAAACACAAUAUAUGUAAAGAUGCACAUAUAUAUGUAUCAACUAUAAGGAUCAUUUGCUUUAAAGAUUUGUUUCUUUCAAAAGAGACCAGUUACGGCACCAAUUUCUGCACAGCCAUUGGUUUGAGGACAUUGUCUAUUACUUAAGGAAUGAAUUUCACAUCUCACCUCCUCCAGAACCUUCUUAGCAGCAUGUCUCAUUACACUGGGUUUCCUCUGACACAGAAGGACAGCAGGCCGUGAGUGACAGAAACCUCCCUAAUUGAAGCACAGAAAUAAUCAAAUGCUCCUUUGUUUUUGCCCAAUUUGACAGACCAUCAAGAUGCACUGGGGAACUGGUAUUUCUGUCUACUUCAUUAUGAGAAUAGAAGCCAGGAUACAUCACCUUUGCCUUCCCUCUUUCCAUUUGUAGAGAUUUAUGCAGCUCAUCAUUUGUUAACGGAAUGGUAAAGAGUUAACACACCAUUCUUUCAUAGUAGAAUAGCCUCACGUGUUUUUCAUUUUCUGGUUUGGAAACUCACAGAAAGAUUACCACUGGCAUGUUAUUAAAAAGACUGAUAUGUCUUUGAAGUAGAGUGCUGCCUCUGUCAUCAUCUUUUACCAAAUAAUGGUGCAAACCCUGAUUAAACACUUUUUUUUUUUAAAUGAACUUCACUUUUAGCAUAGGAAAAAAAAAAUGAAAGGUAAUGAUUUGAAAACAAAACACCAAAUACUAUUUUGCAGGAACUGUAUGGCAAAUGGAACGGAACAUGCUAGCUCUACAGGAAACAAAAGUAAGCAAUAAACUAUGUCAUCACUACCUCUGUUCUUUUUUGAUAGAUAGGGAAACAUUAUUGCAAAGUUCAGUAAGUUCAAUAUACAGUCUUAUUGAAUGAAGUGAAAUAGGCAUAAGAAUUGCUGCUUCAUUUUACAUUUUCUUUCAAUGGCAAGUUAUGAGCAUUAGCUAUUGCAAAUCUAGCCAUCUGCUUACAAUCUGUAACUAGAAAGAGUUCUCCACGUGUCUGCACUGAUACAUGUUCAUGUCAGUGCAAUAUAAAGUAACUUAAACUUCUCUUACUUUUUCUCCUCAAUUAGUUGCUCCUUGCUACCAAUCAAUGCAAGGUAUUGAUUCUAAGUAUUGGUAAGGAGUGUUAUUGGCUAUGUUAUAUAGAUAAAACCAUAAGGAGCAGGCCAAAGAACACUGAUGCAUCCAUCCAUAUACUAAUGGUGUGAUUGCACAAGAUCCUAGAGUUUCUUUUGGGCUGCUUUGGCUGCAUGCCCAUUCAACUUGCACUCUCCCAACAUGGCCCAGAUAUAUUGACAACAAACACAGAGGAGUCCAGGAGCUCCAGAAGUUUUUAUACCAGCUAACAGAAAUAAAACAAUUUGGGUAGGACAGUACAGUUUUUCAUUGUUUAGGAAUGUUCAGGAUGCACUAGUAAUCCUGAUGAUCUUAGGGGCAUGGAAUAGUCAUUUAUUAUAGGCCUUUUAUAAAUUUGGCUGCUCCUUUUCAUGUAGUAAAAGACAAAAACAAAAAGGUCUGGAACACAGAUUUGUAAAAUGGAUAUAGCCUUUAAAUAUUGGUUAGGUACAACACUAGAAGACAAUAAUAAAGUAUAAAACACAUGCUUUUAUAUGAGAUCUUACUCUAGAAAUUAUCAGGGUUACCUAGAGCUGAAGUUUAAUUGAACUUUUUCCUUCUAUCUGCUCAAAAGCUGCAAAAUACGAGUAGGAUAGCAAGGAUAAAGGGAAGCCAAGAAAGCUUAGUCUUGAAUCUUUCAUACACUUCUCCUUUAUUCUUGGAGAAAAAAAGGUAUAAACCACUAUAAAUGAAUGGUAAACAGCAUCUAACAAGAACAUCUACCUACCUCCAUCUGGUUUCUGUAUUAAAAUGACUCUUACAUAACAUCCACUGACUUCUUUACUGAAUAGAGGAUAAUUAUUAAAAUAAAUAUUAAAACACGAUUUUGGAGGAUUAACAAAUAGAUACAUAUCUUUAAAAUACUGGGUCAAAUAUUCUGAGUAAAUCUGGAGUAGCUGAUGGUCCCAUUCACGCGCUGUACUUGGAAGAGCUGAAAUACACGCAGUACUUUUUAUAGCUGAGCUCAGAAGUGACAUUUCUCAAAUUUGACAUUACAUGAAUAUCCAAAAGAGCUGAAUGAUACUUUAGUCUGUCUUACUUUGUCUUACUUUACUUCAUGAAACAGCACACACAGCAGAAAAGAUCUGCUGUUCUUCAUGCAGAUUACAUGAAGGGGGCACAUUCUCUGCCUCCUUUCCUUCUCCUAUCUUUCAUCAAAGAAUUAUAUACUGUUAAAGUGGUGCCUAUUUAACGAACUCUUGCAGUAACUUCCUUCAUCCCCCUGAAAGGUUAAAUAUGGAGUGGGACAUAUUUGUUCUCAUAAAGCAGAAACUCAGCUCUUCCAAAAAUUUGUAAUAUUAGAAAAAAAACUUCUUCCUUCUGCUGUGGUUUGUUGAAGCUUGUUUUCUUUCAUGUCUUAUAAUAAGCCAUGGCAUUUAACGAUGCCUUCAAUAAACAUCACUAACAUUUUUUUCCCCUCUCUAGAUGCCAAUGAUUAAUCUUUUCUAUGUUUUCAAAGAACUUGUUUAAUGCCACAACCACAACGACAGCUUCCCACAAAAACAAUUUCUAGCUAAACCCUCCAUUUACUCCAGUAUUUAUUCAAUCAACAGAAGUCAUCUAUUGUCAUACAAGCAACAAAGCUAGCACGUUCAUCAAUUAAUGGAUAUAUUUAGAUACCUUUCUUAAUAUCUCCACCUCCUUUUCUUUGGUUAGGAAGGAUAAAAGUGAUUCUUACGUUCCAGCAAUAGAAGCUGAAAACAGUUUCUUCAAAUGACACGCUGCUCCUUUUUAAAAAUAGGUUGGUAGCAUGGGCCAGACAUGCCACGCAGGGUGGUGCAGUUAGACCACAGUCAAGGCCACGCUGUGCUCUUGUUUUCUCAGUUAGAAAGCACGGCUAGUCAAGGCAGGAAUAACCAUUAUAAAUGUUUCCAGGUCAAAUGUACCAGCUGUUUGUGGGUGAAGGCCUAGGCUUAAGUGAUGAGGUACUGCCAUUUGCACACUUCCUAUAUUUAAGUGUAAUUUACCAUGGUAAACAGGUGGUGCACUUUGGAAAACCAAAAUAUCAUGCUUCUUCAGAGCAUCCCUGACUUUUUCAGCCAGCCUUUCUACAGAAGCUAUGACAAACACUAGAUAUGGCUUCCCCACCUGACACCACUGCUUCAGUGUCUCUUUCAUAAAGAAUUUCUUCACAGUGGAAGCAUUCCUGUUUGUUCCAGUAAGCCUGGUAAUGACAGAAAUGAAUCUUUUCCAACCUAGUUUCCUAAAUGCAUGAGUGCAGAGGGAGGAAUUUAAACACAAACCAGAGCCAUUGACUAUUCAUCAGGGAAACAUUUCAUAUACACAGUGAGGAUUCCUUUACCAAGCUUGUACUUGAAUUGUAUAUUCAAUUUACGUUGUGCAGAGCUCACUGCCCAAAUAUUGUACAGUUUAACGUCCUCUCCCUGACCUUAUUCUUCCUUUGGGAUUCAGCAGAAGAGUAAAUAAAAGCUUCUCAUCUCUCAUGUUGACUGGACCUGACUGCUUCCUUUAUGGCAGGGCUAAGAAAUCUAAAGUUCAUCAGUUCUGACUUCAUGCAAAUUACCACAUAAUUUUUUUUUGAUAUUAAAGUUAGACGUCAUGAAGUACUUGGAAAAUGUAUGGCCUGCUAACCGUGUUUGAAAGGUUUCUUCCAUCCUCAAGAAAGAAAAAAGGACUUUUCAUGUGAGAACUGCAGCAAGGAAUUUGUCAGAGACUGGGAGAGGAAGGCAAAAGAAGCUAAUAUUGAAAUGCAAAUUAUUAUAAGUGAAAGGAUUUUCUCCAUCUUCACUUAGUUUCUGCAGUUUAUAUCCUUAAAAUAAAAAGGAGUAGCUGAAAAUAUGUUACAAUAAAACCCAGUAACUUUGUCUCUUUCAUAUUCUCAGUCUUUGUUUUAUUUGGAGACUGGUACACAGAAUUUUAUCUAUAAAUCAAGCUCUUGGAAAUAAACUUGCUGAAAUCGCAAUCAGAAUCAAAUAUUUAUGUGAUGAUUUUUGUGAGAAGUUCAGUAAACGCGCUGUCAUCAGAUAAAUUCUCAAGAAAACAUAUCAGAUUCUUUUUUCCUCAGCUUGGAAAAAUAUGAUUCAGUCAUGUACAAGAAAAUUAUGCUUAACAAAACAGCUGCCUGAGCAGGCCUGCACAGCAGCACCUCCACCACACUGCCCAGUUUUUUUUCCCCCCAAUUGUUAUGGUGUAACAGUAUUCUUUUGACAUUUCCAACAGCUGACACUUGGACACUCACAGACCUGCUCUGCUGUCCAUCCCCAAACUGAUCCUGUUUGCUCCAUUUCCCCCUUGCUGUUGGUCUCCCUUCCCUGUGCUUUGAGCCAUUUAAGGCUGAUGGCUUCUCGUUCGUCAUCACAAUCACCUUGCCUUCUCCUAACAGAAAAUACAGAUCAUAUAAUCAUAUACCCAUACUCUUCUUUAUCUCACCUUGUUUACACUCAUGCUUUUCACUCUAACUUUAUUGUUAAGCUCAGCAAAUCUAUAUAAGAGAGGUGCAGGAAACCACAUCAUAUUUAUUCUUGUGCUCCCCUUGGUUAUUUCACAAAUUCACUCCUUUGAAAGUCAGAAGCAUUUUAAUUUCCAGUCUAAGUUCCCAUUUUAUUCAUGUUGUAUAUCUCUUUGUUCCUUAUGGAACAAUAUCCUUAUUCUGGAUAACAUUCAAAAAAAAAAAAAUUACUUUUGUUUCUCUAAAUUCCACAAAAUGUGUAAUUUUCUUCCAGACCUCUUCUUUUCCCCAAACAAAAGGUUGAGAACUGUACACAUUUUUUCAUUAUUUCAUUUUUUCAUAUUUUUUCUACCAGUACUGAUUACAAAGGCAUUCAUACAUAAUGUUGAAAAUGCCUCUCCUAAGACAUCCUCAGACUGCCUACACAUUUGACUUCUUUCUUCCACCUGGAGAUUUAGUCAUCCACUGACUUAUUAAUACAAAUAAUUUUUUUCAACUUCUUGAAUUUGCUUGAACUUUAUCCCAGACCACUUGUUUAGGCAUUUCAAUGCAGGCUACAGCAGUUCAGCUUACAUUUAUUUAUUUCUAACUAGUGGGCCUUGUAUGGGAAAGCUGAGGGCCCAUUACUUUCUGUUAGUCAUGAGAUCCCUGUGGAUUUUAUUAAUAAAUUGCUGUUGUUGCCAUAAAAAAAAAAACACCCUAAAAUCACUGACAAUAUUAAAUCACCGAUUUCUCUCACCAAACAGAACUACCAGUUCUGCCUGUUAGCAGUUGAGUAGUUGUUUUGAAACUUUAGCUAUCGUUUGCUGAAAACAAGGUAGUAACAAAUAGUUCUGCUAAUUAUUGAUGUCUCCUUCAGAAGGCCCUACGGACUCAGCCUAGCUAAACCAUGGUGAAAAGUUUUCCAUUUUUCCUCUGACACUUAUAGAUUAUCAUGUAUGGAAUUUCAUGGAUUUUUACCAUACAAAAGAAACCAAUUGCACAUUCUUGAAAGAGUAUAAAGGAGUCUCUUAAGAUUUUGUUCAUUUAGAAUAAAGAAAAUUAUACUAUUA